GUGCGUGAGAGCCUUAUGGAAGAGAACCAUAUUCGCCUACAGUCAUCAAGCUGGUUGAGAACUUCCACCUAUCGAUCUGGGGAUUAUAUUUUCUUUGAAUGCAAGUGGUGGUACCAACAAGUUUCACACCCUGAGAAAUUUAGAGCACAGUGCCUGGAUGGAGUGAUUCAGUAUCCUACAUGUGCAUGGUCAUUGGGAUAAAUGGAAAUGGCAUGAAGGAGCCCAGCUGUGGAAAUGAAAGAUCCCUCAACCGACCCAGUGAUUUGAGCUUAAUUUUUCCUGGCCUUUCCAGUUUCGCUGUGCUUUGUUUGCAGCUUAGCCAACGUUCUGUCUUGGAAUUUGUUGGGUUUUUUUUCUUUUUAUUAUUGGAUGAUUGUGUUUACAUUUUAUCCACAUUUUAUCCAUUUUUGUAAAUGUAUUUACGUUUUGUAAAUGUGUUUACAUUUUAUCCAUCCGAAUGGUUGUGCUUGCAUUUUAUCCAUUCUAUAUUGAUCUCUCUGUUAUUUUUACUAACAACUGUGUCCUGAAAUAGGCUGCCUUUGGUGGCAUACUGAGAGAAGAAUUAAAGCCCACAGGUAAUUU